rnacentral:rRNA from 1 species
CCAGACUCCUACGGGAGGCAGCAGUGGGGGAUAUUGCACAAUGGGGGGAACCCUGAUGCAGCGACGCCGCGUGGGUGAAGGAGUGCUUCGGCGCGUAAAGCCCUGUCAGCAGGGAAGAAAAUGACGGUACCUGAAGAAGAAGCCCCGGCUAACUACGUGCCAGCAGCCGCGGUAAUACGUAGGGGGCAAGCGUUAUCCGGAUUUACUGGGUGUAAAGGGGGCGCAGACGGCGAUGCAAGUCAGAAGUGAAAACCCAGGGCUCAACCUUGGGACUGCUUUUGAAACUGAGUAGCUAGAGUGCAGGAGAGGUAAGCGGAAUUCCUAGUGUAGCGGUGAAAUGCGUAGAUAUUAGGAGGAACACCAGUGGCGAAGGCGGCUUACUGGACUGUAACUGACGUUGAGGCUCGAAAGCGUGGGGAGCAAACAGGAUUAGAUACCCGAGUAC